CCGGCGACCGGCGCACGGGUGAGUAACACGUAUGGAACCUGCCCGCAGCAGGGGGAUAAGCGGAAGAAAUUCCGUCUAAUACCGCGUAACAACGUUGGAAGGCAUCUCCCAAUGUUUAAAGAUUUAUCGGCUGCGGAUGGCCAUGCGGCGCAUUAGCUAGUCGGCGGGGUAACGGCCCACCGAGGCGACGAUGCGUAGGGGUUCUGAGAGGAAGGUCCCCCACACUGGUACUGAGACACGGACCAGACUCCUACGGAAGGCAGCAG
rnacentral:rRNA from 1 species